UUGGAAAAAGUCCAAGGUUUGGUCUUAUCCACAGCCACAUUGGAGAAAUGAUUUUCUGCCUUCAAGCCCCACAGCCUCCCAUUCUUCUUUCUUUCUUCCCUUUUCUUCCUUUCUUUCUUCCUUCCUCUCAUGCACGUCCCCUCCCAUUUUUCUUUCAUUUUCCUUUUCCCUUCCAUUCUCUCCCCCAUCUUCUCUUGCACUGGCCAAACCGUGAGAGAGAGAGAGAGAGAGAGAGAGAGAGAACCCGUGAGUGUGGAAGUAGGUUUUUGGCCGUGGGUGGUGCGAUUUUCGGAGCCUUGGUGGCUGGGCCACCGUCGUGGAGUGGCGGUAGCGGCUGCGCAAUGGAUUCCAGCCUUGAUUCGGAUAGUGUUCGGAUUGGAGACUUCAGUAGGUUCUCCAAUGUAGAGUUCGAGUCGUGAGUCCAAUGCAGCUAAAGAUGUGGAUACCACCACAACCGUGUAAAUGUUCCUUUGGCUGCAGGUACUUCGGUAUAGUUGAUGGUUUGGUAACAGUGUACUUGGGAUAUUAUGACUAAAGCUCGCCGCGAUGGUUGUAAUUGUCAGACCACGGGUUGUCCACUAUUUUUAGGUCUGGUAUGGCUUGUGACAUUUGUGUCACUUGUUCUUUGUAGAGCCAUUAUUGUAUGUAAUUAUUGUGUUAUGAAGACUCAAACAAAUAGAUGUUAAAUGACUCUUUGUUGUAAUUAAUUUGUUAUAGAUGUAUAAGUUGUAAUUAAUUUAUGAUAGA